AUUGAACGCUGGCGGUAUGCUUUACACAUGCAAGUCGAGCGGUAGACCCUUUCGGGGGUUGAGAGCGGCGAACGGGUGAGUAAUGCAUCGGAACGUACCCAGUCGUGGGGGAUAACGCACCGAAAGGUGUGCUAAUACCGCAUACGUCCUACGGGAGAAAGAAGGGGAUCGCAAGACCUUGCGCGAUUGGAGAGGCCGAGGUCUGAUUAGCUAGUUGGUGGGGGAAAGGCCCACCAAGGCGACCAUCAGUAGCGGGUCUGAGAGGACGAUCCGACACACUGGAACUGAGACACGGUCCAGACUCCUACGGGAGGCAGCAGUGGGGAAUUUUGGACAAUGGGCGCAAGCCUGAUCCAGCCAUUCCGCGUGAGUGAAGAAGGCCUUCGGGUUGUAAACCGCUUUUGGCAGGAACGAAACGGCGACUCUUAAUACGGGUCGUUAAUGACGGUACCUGCAGAAUAAGCACCGGCUAACUACGUGCCAGCAGCCGCGGUAAAAC
rnacentral:rRNA from 1 species